AUCCUCUCUCUCCCCCUCUCUCUCUGAUGUCGAAAACGAAAAGGAAAAAGAAAAAGAGAAAGAAGGAAGAGAAGUAGGGGAAGUGGAAGAAGAAGAAGAAAUUGGGGGUGUCUAGGAGCGUGAAUUAGAACGCGAUACUUAUCCGGCUAGUUGCUAUUCACGAGUUUUCGAGCAAUCGUGAGGUGAGGAAGGGUCAUGUGUAGCGCUUCUCUUGCCAGGACGACAUAGCGAGUUGACGUGGGUUCCGAGUCGCCGAAAACGGAUUUCUUUGGACAUUUGCUAGUGAGGUGAGACAUGUGUGAUUCACUCUUUUAGACAGUUGGUGUUGAGCUGAUCAUAGUAGUAGCAGUUUCUUGUAAUUAUGAUUAUAGUCUGCAGAUGCCAUCUUGAGUUGAUGUAUGUAUGUGAUAUGAUACUCGGUAGGGGUCGCUCCCCACGAGUGCCGCUCCGGAUGCUGGCCAGUGAUAGUAAGAUAGUAGCCUAGGGGUCGCCGUCACACCUGCGGGAGUGUGUCCGCGCACUAGGCAGGCGUAGGCUUGACCGGACCUAUGAGUCGGUCAUGACGAUUGGGUUUUAUGGCUGUUGUUCUCUAUUCUUAUAUAUUAAAAUGAAUCUAUAAAUAUAUAUAUUUUAAUUAUAUAAA